GCCGCGGGUCUCUUUGUCCGGGGAAUCGUUCCAUGGCGUCUGUUUGCGAGGUGCCGUGGCGACCUGCCCCCAGAGUAGGGGGUGGUGGCGGUGCGGCGCCCCCAUCUCUGCAGGGCUCCCCGGCAGGUACUACGGGGCCGUGCUGGGGAGGGUCCGCAGUCUCGGGCUGAGCAGGAUGAAUCGCCGUCACGGACUAGAGCUUCUGAUGUGUGCGUGACCCACUGCUGGGAACGGACCCAGUCCGGGCAUGGGGACUCGACCAGAGUCGUCCGGCUUUCGCCGCGUCCUUGGUUUCCCUAUAGGCCCCAGAUUCCCGCAGGCGGGCCCACCGCGCCUUGAGGGGGCUUAAGGUGUCCACCGGUGUCAUCCUUAAGGAACGGUGAGUGCAUGUGUUCUGGAAGCCCAGCCCGGCGCGCCCUUUCAUAGAUGACUGCUGACCUGGUGGACUGAGCCUGCUGGAGGGCUGGGAUGCCCAGGUGAUGGGUGGUUCCUGCCACUUCAGGCUAUGACAAGAGCCAGGGGCCUUCUCUCUGGCUACUAUGGGUUUUGCUCACUCAAAGGAUGCUAUCUGGCGUUGGGCAGAUCCCAGGAACUCCCAUCUCUCCUGAAUUAGCCAGUGUGAGCAGCUGUCAACUUGCCGGAGGAAAAUAACUGCCUAGAAAUUUGGGAACAAAUAUCAGUAGCUUUCACUUGUUUAAAUAGGUAUACUGUAUGGCUUUUUCAAAACGAUUCCAAUAAAACAUAUUAAAGCAAA